UUAUACUUGCUGGAGCUCACAGUUCCUCAACACUGCAGAUAUGACGCCUCUGUUCAUCUCAGUGUUGCUGGCUGCUGUGUGCCUUGAAUGCAGAGCACAAAAAGACAACGUGCUGCAACCAGAAGGAGACGUGACUGCUGCUGAAGGAGAGCCAGUAACACUUGGCUGUCUAUAUAACAGCAGUUCAUCAAAUGAUUAUCUCUUCUGGUACAAACAGGAUGGAAACAACAGCCCUGAAUUCAUACUGAGCCGCGUUCAACGGGACGAAGGGAAAACAGCAGACAAGUACAAGGAGAGAUUUUCAUCCACACUGGAUUCCACCUCUAGAUCAGUUCCUCUGAAGAUCCAGAAGCUUCAGCUGUCUGACUCUGCUGUGUACUACUGUGCUCUGCAGCCCACAGUGACAGGAAACACCAAAACUCUGUACAAAAACCUUUGGAGCAAAGACAACAGAAUACUCCACAACGUCCACUAGAGGGAGUCACACACAGUGCACUGCAAUAGUCCAGGUGUGAAAAGAUAAAGGACAUAGCUGAUUUUAUUUUGGUAAUAUUUCUAAGGUGGAAGUAGCAGGAUUAAAUGUUACAACUA